rnacentral:rRNA from 1 species
UACAGAGGGUGCAAGCGUUGUCCGGAAUUAUUGGGCGUAAAGCGCGCGCAGGCGGUCCUUUAAGUCUGAUGUGAAAGCCCACGGCUCAACCGUGGAGGGUCAUUGGAAACUGGGGGACUUGAGUGCAGGAGAGAAGAGUGGAAUUCCACGUGUAGCGGUGAAAUGCGUAGAGAUGUGGAGGAACACCAGUGGCGAAGGCGACUCUUUGGCCUGUAACUGACGCUGAGGCGCGAAAGCUAGGGGAGCAAACAGG